GAGGGUGCAGACAAGCUGAUCCUGCCUUAAUUCCUCCUAAAACCAGCCCUGAGAGCCUUCAGGUGGAGAGAGGUGCCCGCCAGCCAGGGUGACGGGCCAGCCGGGCGCGGGUGACAGCCCCGGGCCGAGCGGUGCCUCCGGGGGGGACGCGAGGGGCAGGCGGCGCUGCGUGGUGAUGGAGGAAGUGCCAUGUGCACCACCGCCCUGCUCCUCGGCACGCUGGUCAUGAUGCUGCGGAGACACUUCUUCAACAAAGUCGAACCGCACUCGGAGGGAGAAGAAGAGACCAGGAGAGAGGCUGGCUCUGACCCUCGCACCACGUAACACUGCUUUGGAGAAAAAGCCAGCUCCCCUGCGCCCUGCAGCCGGCACCCAGCACAUCCCGGCCUCAGCACAUGCUGAAACCCCCAGCAAAACAACCCACGAUGCCGACCUGCACACUGGUGAACCCACAUCACCCCGGCGCCCCCCCCCCCAGCUCAGGGAGGACCAGGCACUGGGUUAAAUGCUGGCACAGAAAAUAAAUUUGCCUGUCUUUAAGGCUGAGCCCUGGGGGGGUGGCCGGCAGCCCCACGGCGAUGCCCUCCGCAAGCCGAAAUGCACCCUGUGAGCAUGUGGGGUUCACACACCCUCCGCAGCUUUCCCAUCUAUAUAAAUACGUUAAUAAAAGAUCAGUUUGCAGACGCAGCUUGCUGUAGAUGACAGCAUUAGAGGCGCAUCUGUUUCUACUAAGCGCCAGUCUCGUGCUGGGUUUAUUUGGUCCAUUUGCGGCAGGGAAGAGUUGCUUUCGGCAUUCAGAGAUGUCUCGUGUCUGGGAGAAGUGUGGGGGGGAGAUAUAUUUUUGGCUCUAUUUAGCCACAAAAAUUUGGUUUUAGAAUAAAGAAAAAUAUUCCUGUUUUCUGUUUGCUGCCAAACUGAUGCAGAUGAUUUCUUGUGCAAGCCUUCAUUUGUUUGAGAACUCGGUGUCCUGUUGGAAGAAUAAAUGUUCUGAUGGGAAAAGUCUAUCAGCAUGCAUUGAUCAGUCAUUGGGACCGGUGGAGUUGGAAACGUCAGCUUCAACCUAACAGAAAAAGCAGCUCCCAAAGCUUUUGCCAAUACAUAUAAGGCAGAAGGAGACAGGUCUUUUUUUGUGUGAGUGGAAUAGUCACACAGCAGAAUCCUUCCUGCGGGCACAGUUGUGCCAGCCUCACCACAGCUGACAUGAAUUUUCAGUGCCAAAUACACCCACCUGGCACCCAGAACAGGCUGUUUGCUCCUGUCUGAGAGCCGGCCACUGCUGGGGGCCAUGAGCAGGACACAGCACCGGGGGAAGAAGCCCUGGAUGUGGCUCCUGUCCGGGAUGCUCCUGGCUGAUGGCAGCACCUCUUCUCCAUCCAGAGGCUGCAGGGUCACCUCCUCUGCCACCGAGGAAAUAUUAUGAUCA